GCGCGAAAACUUUACAAUGCUGGCAACAGCGAUAAGGGAACCUCGAGUGCCAGGUUACAAAUCUGGCUGUCGAGAUGCCUAAAAAGCAUUUCAUAGCAAGGGCCGGGCAAGACCGGUGCCAGCCGUCGCGGUAACACCGGCGGCUCGAGUGGUAACCGUUAUUAUUGGGUCUAAAGGGUCUGUAGCCGGCCGGAUAAGUCUCUUGAGAAAUCUGGCAGCUUAACUGUCAGGCUUUCAGGAGAUACUGUCUGGCUCGAGGCCGGGAGAGGUGAGAGGUACUUCAGGGGUAGGGGUGAAAUCUUGUAAUCCUUGAAGGACCACCAGUGGCGAAGGCGUCUCACCAGAACGUACCUGACGGCAAGGGACGAAAGCUAGGGGCACGAACC
rnacentral:rRNA from 1 species